CAGCAUUGAAACAUUGGUUCUCAUCUGAUCACCAAAGCUAAGCCCCAUUGAGCCUGGUCAGUACCUAGAUGGGUGACUGCUUGGGAAUACCAGGUGCUGUAAU